ACAGUGGACGCGAGCAUCUGUGGCCAAGUUUUUAAGGGCGCACGGUGGAUGCCUUGGCACCAGGAACCGAUGAAGGACGUGGGAGGCCACGAUAGGCCCCGGGGAGUCGUCAACCAGGCUUUGAUCCGGGGGUGUCCGAAUGGGGAAACCCGGCAGUCGUCAUGGGCUGUCACCCGCUGCUGAACACAUAGGCAGUGUGGAGGGAACGCGGGGAAGUGAAACAUCUCAGUACCCGCAGGAAGAGAAAACAACCGUGAUUCCGGGAGUAGUGGCGAGCGAAACCGGAUGAGGCCAAACCGUAUGCGUGUGAGACCCGGCAGGGGUUGCGCAUUCGGGGUUGUGGGAUCUCUCUUCUGUUGUCUGCCGGCAACAGGACGAGUCAGAAACCGUUGAUGUAGGCGAAGGACAUGCGAAAGGUCCGGCGUAGAGGGUAAGACCCCCGUAGUCGAAACGUCAGCGGCUCGUUUGAGAGACACCCAAGUAGCACGGGGCCCGAGAAAUCCCGUGUGAAUCUGGCGGGACCACCCGCUAAGCCUAAAUAUUCCCUGGUGACCGAUAGCGGAUAGUACCGUGAGGGAAUGGUGAAAAGUACCGCGGGAGCGGAGUGAAAUAGUACCUGAAACCGUGUGCCUACAAGCCGUGGGAGCGUCGCGCAAGGACUUGUCCUUGCGUCGUGACUGCGUGCCUUUUGAAGAAUGAGCCUGCGAGUUUGCGGUGUGUUGCGAGGUUAACCCGGGUGGGGAAGCCGUAGCGAAAGCGAGUCCGAAUAGGGCGUUUCAGUAGCACGCUCAAGACCCGAAGCGGAGUGAUCUAGCCAUGGGCAGGUUGAAGCGGAGGUAAGACUUCGUGGAGGACCGAACCCACCAGGGUUGAAAACCUGGGGGAUGACCUGUGGUUAGGGGUGAAAGGCCAAUCAAACUCCGUGAUAGCUGGUUCUCCCCGAAAUGCAUUUAGGUGCAGCGUCGUGUGUUUCUUGCCGGAGGUAGAGCACUGGAUAGGCGAUGGGCCCUACCGGGUUACUGACCUUAGCCAAACUCCGAAUGCCGGUAAGUGAGAGCGCGGCAGUGAGACUGUGGGGGAUAAGCUCCAUGGUCGAGAGGGAAACAGCCCAGAGCAUCGACUAAGGCCCCUAAGCGUACGCUAAGUGGGAAAGGAUGUGGAGUCGCACAGACAACCAGGAGGUUGGCUUAGAAGCAGCCACCCUUGAAAGAGUGCGUAAUAGCUCACUGGUCUAGUGAUUCCGCGCCGACAAUGUAGCGGGGCUCAAGCGUACCGCCGAAGUCGUGUCAUUGCAGCAAGAAGCCCCAACGGGUGCUGUGAUGGGUAGGGGAGCGUCGUCUGCCGGGUGAAGCAGCCGCGGAAGCGAGUUGUGGACGGUUGACGAGUGAGAAUGCAGGCAUGAGUAGCGAUUCACACGUGAGAAACGUGUGCGCCGAUUGACUAAGGGUUCCUGGGUCAAGCUGAUCUGCCCAGGGUAAGUCGGGACCUAAGGCGAGGCCGACAGGCGUAGUCGAUGGAUAACCGGUUGAUAUUCCGGUACCCGCUGUGAAGCGUCAAACAUCGAAUCCAGUGAUGCUAAGCCCGUGAAGCCGCCGGCUGAGUCUUCGGACGAGGUCGGAGUGGUGGAGCCGGUGACCCGAGCUGGUAGUAGGUGAGUGAUGGGGUGACGCAGGAAGGUAGUCCAUCCCGGGCGGUGGUUGUCCCGGGGUAAGGGUGUAGGACGGUGUGUAGGCAAAUCCGCACACCUUGUGUCUGAGACCUGAUGCCGAGCCGAUUGUGGUGAAGUGGAUGAUCCUAUGCUGUCGAGAAAAGCCUCUAGCGAGUUUCAUGGCGGCCCGUACCCUAAACCGACUCAGGUGGUCAGGUAGAGAAUACCGAGGCGUUCGGGUGAACUAUGGUUAAGGAACUCGGCAAAAUGCCCCCGUAACUUCGGGAGAAGGGGGGCCACAACCGGUGAUGAGCUUCGCGCUCUGAGCUGGGGGUGGCCGCAGAGACCAGCGAGAAGCGACUGUUUACUAAAAACACAGGUCCGUGCGAAGCCGUAAGGCGAUGUAUACGGACUGACGCCUGCCCGGUGCUGGAACGUUAAGGGGACCGGUUAGCUUGGAUUCGUCCAGGCGAAGCUGAGAACUUAAGCGCCAGUAAACGGCGGUGGUAACUAUAACCAUCCUAAGGUAGCGAAAUUCCUUGUCGGGUAAGUUCCGACCUGCACGAAUGGCGUAACGACUUCUCGACUGUCUCAACCAUAGGCCCGGUGAAAUUGCACUACGAGUAAAGAUGCUCGUUUCGCGCAGCAGGACGGAAAGACCCCGGGACCUUUACUACAGUUUGAUAUUGGUGUUCGGUUCGGCUUGUGUAGGAUAGCUGGGAGACUGUGAACUCUGGACGCCAGUUCAGGGGGAGUCGUCGUUGAAAUACCAGUCUGGUCGUGCUGGAUGUCUAACCUGGGUCCGUGAUCCGGAUCAGGGACAGUGUCUGAUGGGUAGUUUAACUGGGGCGGUUGCCUCCUAAAGAGUAACGGAGGCGCCCAAAGGUUCCCUCAGCCUGGUUGGCAAUCAGGUGUUGAGUGUAAGUGCACAAGGGAGCUUGACUGUGAGACCGACGGGUCGAGCAGGGACGAAAGUCGGGACUAGUGAUCCGGCGGUGGCUUGUGGAAGCGCCGUCGCUCAACGGAUAAAAGGUACCCCGGGGAUAACAGGCUGAUCUUCCCCAAGAGUCCAUAUCGACGGGAUGGUUUGGCACCUCGAUGUCGGCUCGUCGCAUCCUGGGGCUGGAGUCGGUCCCAAGGGUUGGGCUGUUCGCCCAUUAAAGCGGUACGCGAGCUGGGUUUAGAACGUCGUGAGACAGUUCGGUCCCUAUCCGCUGUGCGCGUAGGAGUCUUGAGAAGGGCUGUCCCUAGUACGAGAGGACCGGGACGGACGAACCUCUGGUGUGCCAGUUGUUCUGCCAAGGGCAUGGCUGGUUGGCUACGUUCGGGAGGGAUAACCGCUGAAAGCAUCUAAGCGGGAAGCCUGCUUCGAGAUGAGGACUCCCACCUCCUAGAGAGGGUAAGGCUCCCAGUAGACGACUGGGUUGAUAGGCCGGAUAUGGAAGCACGGUAACGUGUGGAGUUGACCGGUACUAAUAGGCCGAGGGCUUGUCCUCAGUUG
rnacentral:rRNA from 1 species